AUCAACCGAUCAGGCAGAUAAAGGCACUCUAAGUGAAUGGAAUAUUAGAUCCAUCAGUUUUUAGUAAAACAUAAGCAAAAGCAAGCAAACAAGCACAACACACCAGGAAACCAAAUAGAUGCUGAUGGAGAUUUUUUAAAACUCUCAAUAUCUGUCAGUGGUCAAGUGGUGGAACCAGGAUUUGG